rnacentral:rRNA from 1 species
AUUGAACGCUGGCGGCAUGCUUUACACAUGCAAGUCGGACGAGUGGCGAACGGGUGAGUAACGCAUCGGAACGUACCGAGUAAUGGGGGAUAACUGUCCGAAAGGACAGCUAAUACCGCAUAUUAUUCGAGCGGCCGAUGUCUGAUUCGCUGGUGGGCGGGGUAAAGGCCCACCAAGGAGCCGACCAGUAGCGGGUCUGAGAGGAUGCUCCGCCCGACUGGCACUGAGGCACUGCCCCGACUCCUACGGGGGGCGGCGGUGGGGAAUUUUGGACACUGGGCGCAAGCCUGCUCCAGCCAUGCCGCGUGUCUGAAGAAGUCCUUCGGGUUGUAAAGGACUUUUGUCAGGGAAGCGGUACCUGAAGAAUAAGCACCGGCUAACUACGUGCCAGCAGCCGCGGUAAUAC